UACUGCCCAGUGAAGAGUCGCCGACUGUGGCGGCCUGCUACCGGACAUUGAGCCGGAGCUAGUUGGGCGGUUUUUC
rnacentral:ncRNA from 12 species